rnacentral:tRNA from 1 species
GUCCAGCUAGCUCAGUCGGUAGAGCAUGAGAUUCUUAAUCUCAGGGUCAUGGGUUUGAGUCCCGUGUUGAGUG